CACGAAACGAUAGGAGCUAAGGAGUAUAUGUAAUAGCGAGAAAGUGUUGCAAAAUGUAAAGAGUGUUCCUUAGGGGUGAUAGGCUUAACAAAUGUCGAGAUAUCUUGUUUAUCCUGAAACUUAUUUAGUACAAGACAAAUCUUAGGUGCUAACAUCUUAGAUAUAAAUUAACCUAUGGGAAAAAUAAUCGUUUAGGGUAAAAACACACGAGCAACCAUAAUAAUAUUUAUUUAUUAAAUUUAUUAAAAAUAAGGAGAAAUAUUAUAACAAAAAUGUUUAUUUAUAAUGUUAAUAUUAGUAAAUAUUAAAGUAUAUUUAAUGAACUCGGCAAAAAUUUCUCGACUGUUUAUCAAAAACAUAACCAAAUGUUAAUAUAUUUGGCGCUUUCUGCUCAAUGAUAUAAUUAAAUAGCCGCAGUACCUUGACUGUGCAAAGGUAGCAUAAUCAAUUGGCUCAUAAUUGGAGUCUAGAAUGAAUGGAUAUACGGGAAGUUACUGUAUCAAAUAUUUUAAUUGAAGUUGGAUUUCAAGUGCAAAUACUUGUAGAUAAUUGUUAGACGAGAAGACCCUAGAAAUUUGAAUAUACGUUUGGUUGGGGCAACAUAGUAGGAGUUAACCUACAGUAUGGACUUAAAAAAAUUAAUUAAAAAGAAUAAAUUACUCUAGGGAUAACAGCAUAAUUUAAAAAAGUUUGUGACCUCGAUGUUGGAUUUGGGAAUUAUAGUUCAGA
rnacentral:rRNA from 1 species